GACGAACGCUGGCGGCGUGCUUAACACAUGCAAGUCGAACGGUAAGGCUCCAGCUUGCUGGGGUACACGAGUGGCGAACGGGUGAGUAACACGUGGGUGACCUGCCCUGCACUUCGGGAUAAGCCUGGGAAACUGGGUCUAAUACCGGAUAGGACCAUGGUGUGGAUACUGUGGUGGAAAGUUUUUUCGGUGUGGGAUGGGCCCGCGGCCUAUCAGCUUGUUGGUGGGGUAAUGGCCUACCAAGGCGGCGACGGGUAGCCGGCCUGAGAGGGUGGACGGCCACAUUGGGACUGAGACACGGCCCAGACUCCUACGGGAGGCAGCAGUGGGGAAUAUUGCGCAAUGGGCGGAAGCCUGAUGCAGCGACGCCGCGUGGGGGAUGACGGCCUUCGGGUUGUAAACUCCUUUCACCAUCGACGAAGGGUUUCUGACGGUAGAUGGAGAAGAAGCACCGGCUAACUACGUG
rnacentral:rRNA from 1 species